rnacentral:snRNA from 1 species
GUGCUCGCUUCCUCAGCACAUAUACUAAAAUUGGAACGAUACAGAGAAGAUUAACCCUGCGCAAAGAUGACAGGCAAAUUCGUGAAGCGUUCCAUAUUAAA